rnacentral:tRNA from 1 species
AUUCUUUUAGUAUAAAAAGUAUAUUUGACUUCCAAUCAAAAGGUCUUUAUAAGAAAGAAUA